GACGAACGCUGGCGGCGUGCUUAACACAUGCAAGUCGAGCGGUAAGGCCCUUUCGGGGGUACACGAGCGGCGAACGGGUGAGUAACACGUGGGUGACCUGCCCUCAGCUCUGGGAUAAGCCUGGGAAACCGGGUACUAAUACUGGAUAUGACUCCAUGACGCAUGUUGUGGGGUGGAAAGCCUUGUGCGGCUGAGGAUGGGCCCGCGGCCU
rnacentral:rRNA from 1 species